rnacentral:rRNA from 1 species
CCUACGGGAGGCAGCAGUAGGGAAUCUUCCACAAUGGGCGAAAGCCUGAUGGAGCAACGCCGCGUGGGUGAAGAAGGUCUUCGGAUCGUAAAACCCUGUUGUUAGAGAAGAAAGUGCGUGAGAGUAACUGUUCACGUUUCGACGGUAUCUAACCAGACAGCCACGGCUAACUACGUGCCAGCAGCCGCGGUAAUACGUAGGUGGCAAGCGUUAUCCGGAUUUAUUGGGCGUAAAGGGAACGCAGGCGGUCUUUUAAGUCUGAUGUGAAAGCCUUCGGCUUAACCGGAGUAGUGCAUUGGAAACUGGGAGACUGGAGUGCAGAAGAGGAGAGUGGAACUCCAUGUGUAGCGGUGAAAUGCGUAGAUAUAGGGAAGAACACCAGUGGCGAAAGCGGCUCUCUGGUCUGUAACUGACGCUGAGGUUCGAAAGCGUGGGUAGCAAACAGGAUUAGAUACCCCGGUAGUC